AUGGCGCCGCUGGCCGACGGCGCCGUGCGGCCAUCGUCCGCGCCGUGGGUAUUUCAGGCGAGGGCACAUCGGGGAAGCGAUGCCGGAGCCGGAGCUGCUGGGCGCCAACUGAACUGGGCCAUCAGAGUGCUGUCCCGUACCAGCGCAAUUCCUCACCUGAUUUUAGUGCCGAUGCACAAUGUGUGGAUGGGCGUCUUGGCAUGUUAG
rnacentral:rRNA from 1 species